rnacentral:rRNA from 1 species
GACGAACGCUGGCGGCGUGCUUAACACAUGCAAGUCGAACGGAAAGGCCCUGCUUUUGUGGGGUGCUCGAGUGGCGAACGGGUGAGUAACACGUGAGUAACCUGCCCUUGACUUUGGGAUAACUUCAGGAAACUGGGGCUAAUACCGGAUAGGAGCUCCUGCUGCAUGGUGGGGGUUGGAAAGUUUCGGCGGUUGGGGAUGGACUCGCGGCUUAUCAGCUUGUUGGUGGGGUAGUGGCUUACCAAGGCUUUGACGGGUAGCCGGCCUGAGAGGGUGACCGGCCACAUUGGGACUGAGAUAAGGCCCAGACUCCUACGGGAGGCAGCAGUGGGGAAUAUUGCACAAUGGGCUGAAGCCUGAUGCAGCAAAGCCGCGUGGGGGAAGACGGCCUUCGGGUUGUAAACCGCUUUCGCCUGUGAAGGAGAGUUAGUGACGGUAAUGGGUAAAGAAGCACCGGCUAACUACGUG